CGGAAUGCAUGGGCGCAGCCUGACCGCCUGCCGCGUGUCUGAAGAAGGCCUUCGGGUUGUAAAGGACUUUUGUCCGGGAGCAAAUCCCAGUGGUUAAUACCUACUGGGGCUGAGAGUACCGGAAGAAUAAGCACCGGCUAACUACGUGCCAGCAGCCGCGGUAAUACGUAGGGUGCAAGCGUUAAUCGGAAUUACUGGGCGUAAAGCGUGCGCAGGCGGUUGUGCAAGUCUGAUGUGAAAGCCCCGGGCUUAACCUGGGAACGGCAUUGGAGACUGCACGACUAGAGUGCGUCAGAGGGGGGUAGAAUUCCGCGUGUAGCAGUGAAAUGCGUAGAGAUGCGGAGGAAUACCGAUGGCGAAGGCAGCCCCCUGGGAUGACACUGACGCUCAUGCACGAAAGCGUGGGGAGCAAACAGGAUUAGAUACCCUGGUAGUCCACGCCCUAAACGAUGUCAACUAGCUGUUGGGGGUUUGAAUCCUUGGUAGCGUAGCUAACGCGAGAAGUUGACCGCCUGGGGAGUACGGCCGCAAGGUUAAAACUCAAAGGAAUUGACGG
rnacentral:rRNA from 1 species